rnacentral:rRNA from 1 species
GACGAACGCUGGCGGCGUGUUUAACACAUGCAAGUCGAACGGAAAGGCCUCUUUCGGGGGGUACUCGAGUGGCGAACGGGUGAGUAACACGUGAGUAACCUGCCCUUGACUUUGGGAUAACUUCAGGAAACUGGGGCUAAUACCGGAUAGGAGCUCCUGCUGCAUGGUGGGGGUUGGAAAGUUUCGGCGGUUGGGGAUGGACUCGCGGCUUAUCAGCUUGUUGGUGGGGUAGUGGCUUACCAAGGCUUUGACGGGUAGCCAGCCUGAGAGGGUGACCGGCCACAUUGGGACUGAGAUACGGCCCAGACUCCUACGGGAGGCAGCAGUGGGGAAUAUUGCACAAUGGGUGGAAGCCUGAUGCAGCAACGCCGUGUGCGGGAUGACGGCCUUCGGGUUGUAAACCGCUUUCGCUCAUGACGAAGCUUUGUGUGACGGUAGUGGGUAAAGAAGCACCGGCUAACUACGUG